UGGGGAAUAUUGGACAAUGGGCGAAAGCCUGAUCCAGCAAUGCCGCGUGUGCGAAGAAGGCCUUCGGGUCGUAAAGCACUUUCAAUGGGGAAGAAAAACACGGAAUUAAUACCUCUGUGUCUUGACGUUAUCCAUACAAGAAGCACCGGCUAACUCUGUGCCAGCAGCCGCGGUAAUACAGAGGGUGCAAGCGUUAAUCGGAGUUACUGGGCGUAAAGCGCACGUAGGCGGGUGUUCAAGUCAGAUGUGAAAUCCCUGGGCUCAACCUAGGAACUGCAUUUGAUACUGUACACCUAGAGUAUGGUAGAGGGAAGUGGAAUUUCCGGUGUAGCGGUGAAAUGCAUAGAUAUCGGAAGGAACAUCAGUGGCGAAGGCGACUUCCUGGACCAAUACUGACGCUGAGGUGCGAAAGCAUGGGGAGCAAACAGG
rnacentral:rRNA from 1 species